rnacentral:rRNA from 1 species
UACGAGGGGGGCAAGCGUUGUUCGGAAUUAUUGGGCGUAAAGGGCGCGUAGGCGGUGCGGUAAGUCACCUGUGAAACCUCUAGGCUCAACCUAGAGCCUGCAGGCGAAACUGCCGUGCUUGAGGGUGGGAGAGGUGCGUGGAAUUCCCGGUGUAGCGGUGAAAUGCGUAGAUAUUCGCAAGAACACCAGUGGCGAAGGCGGCUCACUGGCCCGGUACUGACGCUGAGGUGCGAAAGCGUGGGGAGCAAACAGG